rnacentral:rRNA from 1 species
UGGGGAAUUUUGGACAAUGGGCGAAAGCCUGAUCCAGCAAUGCCGCGUGCAGGAUGAAGGCCUUCGGGUUGUAAACUGCUUUUGUACGGAACGAAAAAGCUUCUCCUAAUACGAGAGGCCCAUGACGGUACCGUAAGAAUAAGCACCGGCUAACUACGUGCCAGCAGCCGCGGUAAUACGUAGGGUGCGAGCGUUAAUCGGAAUUACUGGGCGUAAAGCGUGCGCAGGCGGUUAUGUAAGACAGAUGUGAAAUCCCCGGGCUCAACCUGGGAACUGCAUUCGUGACUGCAUGGCUAGAGUACGGUAGAGGGGGAUGGAAUUACGCGUGUAGCAGUGAAAUGCGUAGAUAUGCUGAGGAACACCGAUGGCGAAGGCAAUCCCCUGGACCUGUACUGACGCUCAUGCACGAAAGCGUGGGGAGCAAACA